ensembl:lncRNA
UCUCUGCGCGCUGUUACCGGGAGAGAAAUAUUUUGUUUUUGUUCCGGAUAUUUUAUUUUACAAGUAUAUAUAAAAGAGGAGCAAGGUGAGAAAACAGAGUAAAAGCAUUUAUGUUUUAUAUUGAAAUACUCCUGAGUCUGAUCUAUUCAGGACUCACUAAAUAAAGGGCAACUUUUUUCCGACAUGUAGGAGUUAUACACAGAAUCAUACAUAUGUAGUAAUCAGUGCAACAGGGUGAGAGGAACCUCAUCCAAUUCAGAAAGAACAUAUGCCAAAUCCUGCAGCUGGGAAGGAAGAACCUCUAAUCAUGAUACAGUCUGGGCGCUGCCUGGCUAGGGUGCAGCUCUACUGACAAGGACCCAGGGAUCUUGGCAGACAGCAAGCUGGGCAGGAGCAGUGUGUCCUGGCAGCAGAUCAGGCCAGAAGUUGCCUGUCCUGUAUGAAUCAUCGCAGAGCCAGCAGACAGAGGGAACAGAUUAUUCAUCUCCCUUUAUUUGGCACUCAUUGCACUACAUCUAUAUACUGUGUUCAGUUGCGAGCUCCAUGGUAAAUGAAGUCCCAGAUCAGCUGCUGCAAGGUCAGUGGAUGCCAACCAAGAUGGCCAGGGGCUCCAGGGCCUUGUGAGGACACGCUGAGGGAACUGGGUUGCUCUGCCUGAAGAAAAGGUGGCUUCAGGGACCUAAACAGCACCUAACAGCAGCAUCCCACCUCCUACAGAGAAGGUCUUCAAGAAGACUGAGACAAACUUUGUGCAAGGUGUCUUACUUUAAAAGCUGUAUUUCUGAGAUUUCAGCUGGGAGGGAAGAAGGAAAAUAAAAGACAUCCUUAGUAGACAAUGCCUGGAAUUUUACACUGUUGAAGGCAUAAUCCAGGACACAUGCACAAAAUAAGAGUAUUCCAUCAGUAGAUCAAUUGUGGUAGCUAGCACGCAUCUCCUCUUCCAUCUAGUAUACGUAUAUUAAAUUUUACUUCCCUGUGAAUCCAAAUGCUUUAUAUUUUUCUUGGUGGUAAAUUACCUGAUGAAUUUUGGGAAGGCUUGGAAAUGACACUAAGAUGUGAAUACCUCAACAAAUGACAGAUAAAUAUAAUACUAGAAUACUUAUUCAGAGGCCUAAUGAUCUUAAAUUCACCUAACAUUGUAACAACUAAACUCAUCACAAUGAUUUGUUUAAUGCAAUUGUCUACAUGAAGAAGUUUUCUACACAACUGAUAUCCAAGGUGUGUCACCAGGAAGCACUAUCUUUAUAAAUGGCUACUGGAAAAAAAAAUGAAAAGCAGGGUUUUGAAUUUAUUGACACUGAAUCUUACCUGCUGAGAACUAAUGAUACUUUCCCAUACAUUGAUCUGAUGCAGAGGCAUAUACAUGUGAGGUGACUUCCUUCUACUUGCACAGCACAAUCACUGCCCACAGAGGAACCUUUCCAAAUGAGAAGCUUUUGAUUAAAAAAAUAAAAAUAAAAAGC